ACACUCUUCAAGGUGCUGCAUGGUUGUCGUCAGCUCGUGCCGUGAGGUGUCGGGUUAAGUCCCAUAACGAGCGCAACCCUUACUGUUAGUUGCCAGCGGGUCAAGCCGGGAACUCUAACGGGACUGCCACCGUAAGGUGAGAGGAAGGUGGGGAUGACGUCAAAUCAGCACGGCCCUUAUGUCCAGGGCUACACACGUGUUACAAUGGUCGGUACAAAGGGCAGCUACACCGCGAGGUGAUGCUAAUCUCUAAAGCCGGUCUCAGUUCGGAUCGAAGUCUGCAACCCGACUUCGUGAAGUUGGAUUCGCUAGUAAUCGCGCAUCAGCCAUGGCGCGGUGAAUACGUUCCCGGGCCUU
rnacentral:rRNA from 1 species